UGGGGUGUCGCCAAGUGGUAAGGCACGGGUCUUUGGCACCCGCAUACGGAGGUUCGAAUCCUCCCACCCCAGCCA
rnacentral:tRNA from 2 species